AUAACACGAAAAUGGCAUCAUCCCAACUACAGAUGCGAAGUAGAGACCUUUCUGGGGAAAUACAUUAUAGCCCAUCCUGUGGGGUAUUGACGAGAAGUGUAAUAUUGCCGAUACAGAAUAUAAAUUAUGAAGUUACAUGUUUGGUAAGAAGAUGUGUGUGUAACCAAUAUGAAGAUAUGACAUGGGUUGAUGUCAAAAACAUAUCACAGUAUACUUUGCCCAAGGAUGGUAUCAUGUUUACCUUCAAUGGACAAAUGGAAUUGGUAAAACAAAGAGGAUAUGAAUAUGGCAGGACAUGGAUAUACAUAUUACGAUUUCGUGAAUAUACUUCACGAAGUCGUCAAUUCCAAAGAUGAAGGUUUGGAACAAGGAGGACUUCCUUAACAAUCCUGAUUUUUAUUUGAAAGUUUUGGCGAAAUGGCUGCUCAUGGAGAAUGAUUGUACAUUUAAAGGAGGAGGGAAGAACAUCUUAACUCACCAUCAGUACAACUUUGGUUAACAGCACAAGAACAUUUUCCUUGAAAUGAAUUAUUCUAGUGUGAUUUUAUUGAUUAAAUAAUGGAUUGUGA